rnacentral:rRNA from 1 species
GACGAACGCUGGCGGCAUGCCUAACACAUGCAAGUCGAAUGGUAAGGCCCUUCGGGGUACACGAGUGGCGAACGGGUGAGUAACACGUGGGUGAUCUGCCCUGCACUUCGGGAUAAGCCUGGGAAACUGGGUCUAAUACCGGAUAGGACCCUGGGAUGCAUGUCCUGGGGUGGAAAGCUUUUGCGGUGUGGGAUAGGCCCGCGGCCUAUCAGCUUGUGGGUGGGGUGAUGGCCUACCAAGGCGACGACGGGUAGCCGGCCUGAGAGGGGGGCCGGGAACACUGGGACUGAGAUAAGGCCCAGAGUCCGACGGGAGGCAGCAGUGGGGAAAAUUGGACAAUGGGCGCAAGCCUGAUGCAGCGACGCCGCGUGAGGGAUGACGGCCUUCGGGUUGUAAACCUCUUUCAGUAGGGACGAAGCGAAAGUGACGGUACCUAAAGAAGAAGCACCGGCUAACUACGUGCCAGCCGCCGCCGUAA